rnacentral:rRNA from 1 species
UGGGGAAUCUUGCGCAAUGGGCGAAAGCCUGACGCAGCGACGCCGCGUGAGUGAUGAAGGCCUUCGGGUUGUAAAGCUCUGUGGGAGGGGACGAAUAAGUCGGAACGAAUAGCUCCGAUGAUGACGGUACCCUUUUAGCAAGCACCGGCUAACUCUGUGCCAGCAGCCGCGGUAAGACAGAGGGUGCAAACGUUGUUCGGAAUUACUGGGCGUAAAGCGCGUGUAGGCGGCUCGGAAAGUCGGAUGUGAAAGCCCUGGGCUCAACCUAGGAAGUGCAUUCGAAACUUCUGAGCUUGAGUAUCGGAGAGGAAGGCGGAAUUCUCGGUGUAGAGGUGAAAUUCGUAGAUAUCGAGAGGAACACCGGUGGCGAAGGCGGCCUUCUGGACGGUUACUGACGCUGAGACGCGAAAGCGUGGGGAGCAAACA